GACAAACUUUGGAUCCCUAUAAGCAUAGUGGGUGUUUGGACAACUGUCUUGUGAAUUUCUUUUAGUUGUCCGAGUGAUGUUGAUUGUUGCUCUCAUGGUAGACUUGAAAUGUCAUUUGACAACUCUAAAGGAAUUUGACUCAUUAUUCCGGGAAGAUCCUGUCGAGCGCAACUCGUUGACGCUUCUCGUGCCUCAGGGGUAUGAGUCAAGGAAAAGUGGAUCUUCAGCUACUUAAUCUACUGAACAGCGGAAUGAAAUUCCUCGCUGGGACAUGUCGACUUCGAAAUUAAGUAAGAGGGAUUUAAUUGUGCUUUAGUACUCGCCGUUUGACGUUGCUUGUGAAAUUUUAGGAUUGUAAAAUCUGAAAGCAUGGUUUCGGCAAGUGGUACCAUAUAAGGCGUUGCUUUGGGGUAGCCGAGGAAGCUACGCGAUUAGAAGAUUUAUAGGUUUGACUUAGGUCACCCUAUGUUAACUUUGUAGUGUGUAGACCUCCUCGGAAAUGCUUUAGCAAGUUAAUGCGUAUUCAGCAUGGGCCGGAAGCGUAUCAUCAGGGAAGAAGGAAAAGAGGUGUGUGUCCACUGAGCGACCUCUAUGGUGACUUCUUGAAUUAUGUUUCUUCGACUCACUCGUAUGUGCGGCAGAAACUUCGUGUUAAUUAGAGCUAUAGUUGACUCGAGUUUGUGGACGUCGAGAGUCGCGUACGUACGAGGAAAUAAGGCUACUUUGUUUCGUGGACCAAAUGGCUCGACUCUAGGUGGAAGGUCAUGAAGUAAGACGUCUUUCAAGGUAGGGCAGAUGACUCUCUAGGAUUCUGGCCGUCUACAACGAUACGUACUACUGGUAAGAAUCCUAGAAGGACUGCGAGUAUUUCUUCCUUGCUAAUAGUUACGUUGACUUGUAUUCCCUUGUUUUGGUUGAUGUUGUUUUAUGAUUCUCCAACCUCAUUAAAGUUCUGGUUGGUUGAAAUCAUGAUAGUUCAACGUUGAAACCUCUCCAUUUGAGUUGUUUCCAAGGUUUAGAAACUCUUGUGUUUUGAAAAGGUUUUUCGGGUUGCAAAAGUAUUUCGAGUAAAGUGAUUUCAAAGUUAUUUUCAAAAAUUGUUUUCAAUUCCAACAAAUUUCACCCAAAGGUGAGAAAUUUUAACCCUCCGACUCAGUUUCAAAGCUGAGAUUCUAAUCUCAGAGUUCUGCUGAUUUUCCGUUGCAGCAACUUUGGAAUCAGUUUGGAAUGACUUAUAAAACUCUGAAAAUUUUGAAAUUUUAACACCACAAUGUUCAGCAUCUUGGCCAAUGAUAUGGAGGAUUUCACUUCUUUUCGACUGGACAUGAAGUCGUGGCAAUUUUUCCAAAUCUGCUUUACGAGAAAGGAAAACUUGGAAACUCUUCUGCAAGUUGUUUUGGUAAAAAUUUUCACUUCCUUUCUCUUCCCUUCUUGGAAGUUUACAGUUGUGGUAUUGGAAAUCAUUUGGAAUUUCCUAGAGCUCAAAUUCCUUUUCUUAGGAAAUUUGUAAAACGAAGUUUUGAGCAUUAUUUUCGGUUGCUUAUCCAUAUAAGUCAAGUUCAACGUAAACUGUAGUAAGGGAGGAUAUUCUCUACACUACUAGACGAUCGGCAACCGAAAGGCAAGAAAGAGACGUGCAAGGAACGAAAGGCGGAAAGCCUACAUUACCAUAAUCGGGAACGCAACUUGCGACUUCAGCGACAUGGCUUGACAUGGUCUGAACGACGGGUGAUCUGGAAAAGUGUUUUGACGUCAAGUACGUUAUGAGUGUUGUUCAUGGUUGUUUAACCAUCAGCUCCUCUAAUUUUGGCGAUGCUUUCGAAAUCAACGUUGUGCUAUGUGUGGAAGCGUGUGAGCCUUCAGUCUUCAAGAGAUAAACCUUUGACGGUGAUCCUCGAAUUUCAUCAGAUAGUGACGGAAGUACUUGUUGAAUCUCAUUUUCAAGACUGAUCAUCAGUUCGUCGAACUAGUGUCCAAAGAUCCGUUGGCACGUGGCUGUUGCAGGUAGGGCAACAUGAUUCGAUGUUGGUAACACGACGCAUAUCGUCCGCGUGGUUGGAAGGAGUGCUUCGCUUUUGAGCUCGUGGAAUGGACGCGUUAGCCGAGAUGGCGGUCAUAAACGAAUACGUAACGAACUCGGGUGCACUACGAGAAAAUUUGUCAAGUGUCGUCACAUGGCAAUUCGUGGAAUACCUUUUAGAAAUCGGCUGUUAGGUUCUGUCGUGCUUUUCUCGUAUAGCUUGAUUAGAAGGACGGAUGCUCAGCCAAGUUCGCGUGUAUUUGUCCUUCUGAGGACAAUGACAUCUUCCACGGUGAAUUGCGAAUUUCAUGUUAGUGACGACGACGUCUACUUGUUGUUCAUAGUUGAUGGGAGUUCCAUGAGGGGAACAUAUUUAUACCUACGGGUAGUUGCGUAGGUCUAUGGUUAAGUUCAAAUUCCCGAUUAACGGUGUACUUGUAGUAAGCGGGAAUUGGAUGGAGACGUAAAUCGUCUACGAGUUGCCAGCUGUGGCAAUAUUGAGUUAGGGUGACAGGGUUGGUAGUUACCCAGAUUUAAUUAGUACAGACAUGAACUGUCUGUGGAAAUGCCAAGUAUGGCAGUGUUAUGAGGAGAGUGAUAGAACGGUUAAUUGCUCAUUCUGGUUGUUAUAAGAAAAAUCUUGUGGGUACAGAAGAAUAAAGUGAAAUGGAGCGAAGUGUAUUCUGUUGGUGAUAAAUAAGGAACACUUGGUAAGAGAAAUGCUAGCUCCUGUGUUGACAUGUAUGACUAGUGAUAAUCCAGUUGUACCACAAGAACUCGGAAUGAGAAAUUGUUGUGGGUACUGGAGUCCGACAUGAAAAGUGAAGUAUGGUUGACCGUUUGACCAAUCCUGAAAUUUCGAGGACGAAAUUUAUUUAAGGGGGGUGGAACUGUGAGCCCCGGAAAAUUUUUCAAGCUUAAAUUGAGAUCGUUCGACAAGUUAUUUAUUUACGAUCUCGGUAAUUGUCAAAGUGCUCGAGAAUAUUUUCAGAAUUUUACACAAAGUGAAAUCCUCAAUUUAGAAGAUGGAUGGUAAAGUACGGCACGACGAGUUCGUGAAAAUUUUCGGUUAAGUUCGGAAUUAAAGAUUCUUGUUGGGCUUUAGUAUGGUCUGGUACAAGUUGAGUUUAUCAAGGUUUUGAGUUAGCCCACGUUAUUAAACUUAGUGAGGGGUUUAGCUAGAACAGUAGCUCACUUAAGAGUGCAUGAGCUGCUUGAGGUGUGUGUCUGAGACUUAACCACGUGCCUAGAGACUAAAUCUUACACCAACACGUCGACCGACCUUUUCUUUCCCUUUUUAGACUCUCUUAACGACACCUAGACGUCCACCAACAACAAAGCACAAUUCAGACCAGAGCUACUAUCACCUGAUCAACCAACUCCAUCAAUCUCAAACUUCUCCUUUGAUACUUCUCGUUGAGCACCACAGAUGAUACUCGUGGCUACAACCUUAAGGGAGAUCAUGGAAGAGUUAUCUGGCAUAUGAGAUUAGUUGAUUAAGACUUUGGAGUUGAAUUAACCCAGUUGAGGUUGGACAGAAGAAGAAAUAGGAUUUGGAAGUGGCUUCGAGUGCUCGGAGUCGGAAUUGGAAUUAAAAAGAGCUUUGGGCAGCAGUGAUCCCGCUCACUAGUUUGAUCGAGGAGGUAAGCUGUCAAGAUGUAAUCAUAUUCAUGGUUUAUGGUUCAUGCAUGUUGAGGUGGUGACGUCUUUGUGAGAAUCUUGGAACAAGUUUAGUUGGUUUAACUGCUUGCUGUUAAUUAAAGAAUAAUGAGUGGGUUUGCUUGUUGACAAUUGUGGUGCUAUGAUGAUUGGUUCAAUUAUGGGUAUAAACUUGCAGAAACGUUGUCUGAAGGUAUACUUGGAUAUCUGGGUAAGCUAGACCUUACUUGGAUAUCCAGGUGAGCUAGACCUUACUUGGAUAAUGGUAGAAGUAAAGUAUUGUUGAUACCUUAAUUAAAUGUUGAAGGCUUUGUAUGGUUUUGAGAUUUCAUUUAGUUGCAUGUUUGAAUUGUGGCUGUUGUGAUAAGAAAUUGUGAAUUGGUGGUGAAAUAAUUGGAAUAAGAUUGGUUGGGUGUCCAUAGUAAUUUCGAUUACUAUGUGACGAAAUUGUUAGAGGAUACUCGAAUUUAUUUGUUCAUGAAGUUGGGAAUUUGAUGUAACAUUCGGUUGCUUGAGUAUUAUCGGAAAGGGUAAUAAGUACAGAGAUGAAAAGUAAUAUAUUGGGUGGCCUUAGUAAUUUGGGUACACUCAAUGUAUAAACAUGUGUAUUUGGUCGACAUUACCAUUUAAAUGGUCGGUAAUCUGGGUUAAUUAUCGAACCUAUUACAAUUGGUCAAACGUUGGUCAAACAAUGGUAAAAACGGUCAAUCCUGGUCAAACCAGGAAAGGUUGGUCAAACCUUGGUCAACUCCUGGUCCAACCAGGAACAGUUGGUUUAGACGAUUUAUUAAUCGUCGAUAUUUCAUAUAAUUGUUCAAUAGAUUAUUAACGGUCGAAAUGUCGGAAUCUAGGACUCCAGUUACCCGAAGAACAGAAGGUUCGCGACUCUCGGAGUACGUGAGAGAAAGCAUCGGAAUCCAGUAUGAAUGCAGGUACUGUGCACUGGUGACGGGACAAUAGCGGAUGGAGCUGGGUGUGCAGAACAAGUUCGGUAAAUUACCGUGUGAACCUUAUUCUAAAUUCUAUUUUUCGAACUUGUUGUUAUCUAGUCUCGUGUCAUCAUUUAGUUGAAUUCUCUUCAAGUGAAAUUCAAACCUUGUGUGAGCCUUCAUCCAAGUUCUGGACGAUUGAAAUAGAUUUCAGCAACUCAAGUUUUUCACCUCAAGAAUAUUUGUAGCUUCCGCUGUGUUUGUACAAAAAGUUUUUCAAAUAAAAUGCCUAGCGGUUCUCUAGGGUGUAAAUCGAGCGUUCGGUUUAUGUUUUAGAGACUCGCGGCACUGUGACGUGCUUAAGCUGGUGAGGUGCAGCUUGGGGCGUUACAACUAUCAUCCACAAACAACAGGUGAUGUAUUGUUGGAGUAGAAGGUGACAUAGUGAGACCCCUGAUAGUCCCAUUCUGAACAGAAGAUGAAAUCAAAGCAGAAAGACCUUCUGCACAGAGAAUAAAAAGAUACGGGGACAAAGGAUCCCCCUGUCUGAUACCCCUUGUUGGCAAGAUGAAACCAGUAGGAUUACCAUUAAUUAGGAUGGAGUAACUUACAGACUUAACAGUAGCCAAGAUCACGUCCACCCAAGCUCUACAGAAACCAAGUUUAACUAGAAUAGCCUCCAAAUAACUCCCCUCAAGCCUGUCAUAGGCCUUAGAGAUAUCCAAUGUUGGAUUGUUGGAGGCAAAUCAUGAUAACUUAGUGAAAAACAUGUGUUUCAAUCUCUUCUAGCUCCCAUAACUUACUAUUCAAAACAUCUUUGCACUCUUUAAUUGUUUUCUUGUCGUGCAUGAGGCUACCUAAUGUUUUUGCAGCAAGAAGCAAGCCAUCACACUUUUUUACGAUCUCUUGACCAGUGUUUUGAAACAUUUUAGACUUACUACUUAUGUCCAUGCCUGCAUGAUAAUAGAACAAUGACAAACAAAAUUCUUCACUCAACUGCUUCAAAUGUAUCAUUUGAGUGGUUGCUUUCAUCAUAGUAGCAACCUCCUCCUUUCGUGUGGUCACCAGUAUUCUACUACCCCUGGCACCAUUACGUAAAGGUUUGAUCAAGUCUUCCCACUGACGAAGGUUUGGACUCCAAACAUCAUCCAAGAAGAAACUUUUUGCCUUCAAUCAAUUCAUAUAUGCAUUGCAUUAAAAGUUUCCAGCUUAUUUGAAAGGUUUGAGGUAUUGCUCUUAUCAAGACUUUCAAGGAUAGCUUUAGCAAUCUUUAUCUCUUCAAAAGGGUCUGAGACACAGACCCAAAUUCUCUUAUGGAAAUGAGUCUUCACCAUUUCGUCAUUGAAGACUAGUUGGGAAAGAGUUGUCUUCCCCAUUCCCCCCAUCCCUUCAAUAGGGAUGAUAGAGGGACCUCAGAGUCUUGACUACUCUCACUUAAUUAGCAACUUGCUUACUAUGCUGCUUUUUUCCUUAGCUCGAUCAAAUGUUUUGUCACCAGAAAAAAAGUAGUUUUUUGUCGUUCAGGAAGUACUUCUGGGCCUCUUGUGAUGUUUUGAAUGUUGAAACUCUGUUUUUCCUUAUUGAUUAAAGCUAAUCUUUCAUUUAGGUCUUUUAUCCUCACAGCAAUGUGGCGACGAUGACUUAACUUUCUCACUCGACCAAAACAAAAGCAAGAGGAGGGAAAUAGCAAGCAUACCUUCU